rnacentral:rRNA from 1 species
UACGUAGGGUGCAAGCGUUGUCCGGAAUUAUUGGGCGUAAAGAGCUUGUAGGCGGUUUGUCGCGUCUGCUGUGAAAUUUCGGGGCUCAACCCCGAACUUGCAGUGGGUACGGGCAGACUAGAGUGUGGUAGGGGAGACUGGAAGUUCCUGGUGUAGCGGUGAAAUGCGCAGAUAUCAGGAGGAACACCGAUGGCGAAGGCAGGUCUCUGGGCCACUACUGACGCUGAGAAGCGAAAGCAUGGGGAGCGAAACAGG